GCAGGGGGCAGAGCUGCUCCCACCCCAGGAGCAGCCCACGGUCCGGGGGGGGGAGAGGGAGAGGGUUGACCUCUUGCGACAGUCGGUCCCCCCUCCACCCUCAAAUCCAGCCCCUGUGGAAGUUAACAGGACACCCCACCCCCCACUCCGCCCCCAUCUUUUCUGUGGGCAAAGGGGGAGGGAGGAGUAACAACGGUCACAUCCUCGCCAUCCGUCUUACGGGCAUGGGGUGGAGGUUAGAGCUUCAAGAGGCGCCAUUUUUGGUGUGGGCACAUAUGCCAGGGGUGGAAUGAUACUUGCUCAUCACCGUCAGUUUGCUUUUAGAGUCGGUCUGCGAAAGCCAAGGCAAAAUUCAAGGAUUCUUAUCCGAGGAUUCGGAGGGAACGGCUCAUGUUUUAGAGCGCGGGAGCAGGGCGAGGGCGCGUGGAGGCCAGGCGCCAUAUUAACGGCUGGUAAAGGAGACGACAGGGUGGCCGCCACCUUUGCCCAGAGCAGCAAGCAAAAGAUCCGAAGCCCACCGCCAUCUUUACUGUUACCACAGGAAGCGAGAGUUUCUGAAUGAUCCGCCAUAUUUGUUGUGGGCAAAUAAGGAGGCGCCAAACUUUCGUUUUGACCCGCAUUUUUAAAAAAAAUGCAGAGAGAGAUGUGCGUGGUCGGAGAAGUACCGUAUUUACUGUAAGCAAAAUUGGAGGCCCUCCUCAAAAAUAUGUCAUCAUUAGCGAGCGAAGGCAUUUGUUGUGUGUGUCUUCGCCUUAAGGAACAUGUUCAGCCAGAUUUUAAAACCCUCAAGAGUUGGGAAGUGUUAUCGCUCUUCGCUGUCGCAGCAGGCAGAAAUCCAGCAGGUGAUUCCUCAUACGAUGCAACUCCAUGUGGAAAAAAGGAUUGAUAUUGCACCUAGAAUGCAAAAAAGCAUCCAGGCAAAAGAAACACCCCACUUCCAGAAACACCCCACCAGAAACACCCCACAAUAUUCUUCCAGGAAAACCCCACAGACCCUGCUGACCAGAGGUGCCAGUGAGGACCAACAUAACCAUGUACACCACUCUGGGCUCCUUGGAGGAAGAGCAGGAUAUAAAUGUAAUCAAUUAAAAAUAAAAUAAAAUAAAGGAGCAA